GCAGAGGGGGCUUAGUGGUGGGGUGACUGCGUACCUUUUGUAUAAUGGGUCAGCGACUUAUAUUCUGUAGCAAGGUUAACCGUAUAGGGGAGCCGGAGGGAAACCGAGUCUUAAUUGGGCGUUAAGUUGCAGGGUAUAGACCCGAAACCCGGUGAUCUAGCCAUGGGCAGGUUGAAGGUUGGGUAACACUAACUGGAGGACCGAACCGACUAAUGUUGAAAAAUUAGCGGAUGACCUGUGGCUGGGGGUGAAAGGCCAAUCAAACCGGGAGAUAGCUGGUUCUCCCCGAAAGCUAUUUAGGUAGCGCCUCGUGAAUUCAUCUCCGGGGGUAGAGCACUGUUUCGGCUAGGGGGCCAUCCCGGCUUACCAACCCGAUGCAAACUGCGAAUACCGGAGAAUGUUAUCACGGGAGACACACGGCGGGUGCUAACGUCCGUCGUGAAGAGGGAAACAACCCAGACCGCCAGCUAAGGUCCCAAAGUCAUGGUUAAGUGGGAAACGAUGUGGGAAGGCCCAGACAGCCAGGAUGUUGGCUUAGAAGCAGCCAUCAUUUAAAGAAAGCGUAAUAGCUCACUGGUCGAGUCGGCCUGCGCGGAAGAUGUAACGGGGCUAAACCAUGCACCGAAGCUGCGGCAGCGAACGUAUCACCCAAGACAACUUUACGGAGUUGACGAUUGACGGAGCGAAGCGACGUCAAAGCGUUCAUUAAAGUCGAGUUGGCUUAGGGAUACGUUCGUUGGGUAGGGGAGCGUUCUGUAAGCCUGUGAAGGUGUGUCGUGAGGCAUGCUGGAGGUAUCAGAAGUGCGAAUGCUGACAUAAGUAACGAUAAAGCGGGUGAAAAGCCCGCUCGCCGGAAGACCAAGGGUUCCUGUCCAACGUUAAUCGGGGCAGGGUGAGUCGACCCCUAAGGCGAGGCCGAAAGGCGUAGUCGAUGGGAAACGGGUUAAUAUUCCCGUACUUGGUGUUACUGCGAAGGGGGGACGGAGAAGGCUAUGUUGGCCGGGCGACGGUUGUCCCGGUUUAAGCGUGUAGGUGUGUGUUCCAGGUAAAUCCGGUUCACUUUAACACUGAGGCGUGACGACGAGGCACUACGGUGCUGAAGCAACAAAUGCCCUGCUUCCAGGAAAAGCCUCUAAGCAUCAGGUAACAC
rnacentral:rRNA from 1 species